GGCCGCCUGGCCGCAGCACUGAACGCGGAGGCCCGCCCCGGACCGGAUCUUCCCACGACCGAGCUGCGAGCCUGCGACCAGAACUCCAGAAAAAUGAAGAGAAAUAGCCAAAUUGCGCUACUUUUUCAGAAACAAGCAUCAAAGAAGAUUGCAUCUCCGGUCCAAUCCGAUAUUGUACCCGAUGAAGAAGUCGACUCCGAUAUUGAGAGUGAGAUUGACAUUGACAUUGAAGAUACAACACCACACCCACCUUCACCCCAACAACCAAAUGCAAGGUCACAUGAUGCUCACUUUCUUCCACAUGAUCCGGGGGAAAGGAUUCCUAUAUCAAGUUAUGAUGUUAAUAUUCAAGAUGAUGUUCGGAGAGGAUAUAUGCUAAAAGGUCCGUGCCAACCAUAUGAGCAUGAUUUCGCAACAACAAAAAAGAAGGGUAAAAAUCUACACUUUGUAAGACCCUUGUAAUGUUUUGAACUAUUUGUAUUGUAGUCGUGCACAUUUGAUAUAUGUGUUGAACUCCAAUGCAAUGAAUUUGUCUUGUAUAUUGUUCAUUACAUCA